ensembl:lncRNA
CGGGCUCCCGCUCGGCCGCGCCGCCGGCCCCAUUUCGCAGAAGGAAGCRUUGAGGCCGGGAGGCUGCGGACGACCUCGGCAGCCGAACGGCUAAAACGCCGAGACAGCUUGAGCGCGGCGCACGCGGAGCAGCCCGGCGCCUCGGGAGCCGUGGGGGAAAGGCGGAACGGCCCUUAAUAAAUAUUAACCCAUCGGCUGAUCUGCAGCGGGACGGAGAUACGAAGCCAGCGGCAACUUUGCAAUUCCCUAGAGGGAAAGGGCCGGGGCCGGAGCACGUGCAGAUCCGCCCGCCAGCGCAAAGGGCAAAUAUUUGCGAUGGACGAAGCAGAGCGAAGGCCCUGGAGGUGGCUGGGCAGUCCGGGACUGCGGGGAAGGGCAGGGUGAGAUCUACCCGGGAAGAAACAUCCCCGAUCCUGAAAGCCUCUCCACGGAGCGGUACCGAGACGCCCGGUGCAGUCGGCCGAACAGCUCGUACGUCAGCGGUCGCCUGGACGUCGCCGAAGCCGUUCGUUCGCGCCGGGGAGGAAAGAGCAGCGCCGGCGGGGAAAGCAAAGAGUUAAAAACGAGCGAGGCCAAAAAAAAAAAAAAAAAAAGCCAAAAGGCCAGAGUUAAAAAAAAACCCUCCGAGGAGGCAAAGAGCAGAAAAGGAAACCUCGUGAGCGGCUCUUCCCCUCUCGGCUUUUCCGUGCUCGGGUGGCAAAGCGGAGGGGGGGGGGAGAGUCCCCGUCCCGCAGCCGGGCUCGUCCCCCUGCGGCAGCCGCGCCGCUCGACCAGCCCCGACCCCCUGGGAGACCCCCGUCGUACGCGCUCAGGGAGGGGUUUUCCCCCUUGACACGGCCAGUCGCUUCCCAGCCGGAGGCAGCGACGACGGCGCGGAGCUGUUCAAUCUGCCGUCGCGUCAACCCCGAGCACGUAAAAACCAGGAAUGGGGCCGGCCAAAAUCAGGAACCGUGAAAGCACCGCGUGCGCGAGCGAGUCUAUUUGCGCGACCGCAGGUGCACGUUUGGUGGCUUUUCCUUGACCGGCUGGGUUUUUAUUUGUUUUUUUUGACUGCUAGGGAGCACUUGCAUCACAUUCCCAACCUUUUUUCUCCUUGCAUUAAGAGGAGGAAACAGCUCUUGAACGAUGCAAGCAGGCUGCUUUAGCGGCGGUGAGCCGGCUCGCAGCGGCAGCGGUGGCCUGCGCUGAGUCGCGCUCCCAGAAAACUCCAAGAAAAGGAGUUUUCCCCCUCCGAGCUCAGCGCGUCAAACAGCUGCAAGCACCCGAGCUUCGCGGCGCGCGCAGUCCGCCGGCAGGACUUGCAAAGUUUUCGUCUGUUCUGCUUCCCGGGCCGUGCCGCCAGAAAGCCGGCCGGGGGAAGGAGUGGGCUCGGGAGCUGCCGGCGGCGCCGGCGGCUUGGCAGCGGGGCCGUGCGGAGCCGCCGCUGCCGCUGCCGCGGGCUUCGCUGCAGAUGUUUACGUAGCUCUUUCCUGUUUCCUUUUUCGCACCGCGGUUGGAAACGCCGCGCGGCGAAGGACGAGCGCCGGGCCGCCCUCGAUCGCGCUAUGUACGGAGAGCGAGCCGAGCUCCCGUGGUAACUCCGAAAGGAGGCGAAGCGCCCGCUUCCCUGGGAUACAGGCACGGCAGCGGCCGAAAGCAGCAGUGGGAGACGCGUAGGUCGGAGAGGUUCCCCGGCGGACGCUGACACGACGGAGCCGGCCGCCUCGAAAGAGCUUUUCCGUGCCCCUCUGAUACCGAGGGAUGCUGGCCGCGGUUCACGAAGGUGACUCAACGCCCGCGUUGCGUUAGGCAAGCGAAGUCCCGUCGAGACACGAUUCGCUUUGAUCGAUGGCAAUCGCUCUCGUUCGUAAAGCCGGGAACGUGCUCGAAUGCUUCCCGACGGGGAAAAUAUUUAGGACAGCGUCACAGCUAUCGCCCCCUCCUUCUCCCAGACUUCGGGAAUUUUUAAGACCUGGUUGGACCAACAUACAGUUCUGCCUCAGAGCAGGAGGACGGAGCAGAUGACCUUUUCCAACCCUCCUGCAGAUCCAUGCGAAAGCCCGGUCCCGCCGGCCUCGUCCGGGGGUGUUAAGCUCACUGAGACAGCGGUCGCCACGGGGGCCAAUACAUGGGAAAAGAGAGGAAACCUGUCCUUGCGAGACGAGCUCCUGCUCCCCAGGAAGCGCCGAUGGGGUCGUCCAGCGCUCCUGGGGGAGCUCUUCUCCGAAACGGAGGCCUCCGGGUGCUGCCCUGGCCCACGUUUGCAUUUAGCAUUGCCACCCUCGACUGUUUGGAAACCAGUGGGCAGGUAACUCGUAGUGAGCACUCGGCUCGAAAAGUCACGAUAUCAACCCCAAACUUUUCAAACUGGGGGCUCUUUCCACUCGCUUGCUAACCUUUCAGCGCCUAGAUAUGAGGCAUUCACAUUGUCGUGCUUUUCUUCAGUAGUGUAGCAGCUAGAAAUUUACUCAAUUUUAUCCUCCCGUCGCCCCAAUUCUCUGUAAAUCACUAGAUCCCAUAGAGCUGAGGCCUUUAAAAACAUCAAAUUCCACAGGACUUGCAACAAGUUUGCAAGAAUUAGCAACAGAUCUGGAUUUUCCCGGUCUGGAGACGCUCAGAUCAUGGUAUGUGUUGGUCCAGUCCAAUGACCGUGAGACGCAGGAAAAUCUGGUGCAAACUCCAAUUUACUUGGUUAAUUCGGUAUUGGCUGCUUGGCUCUGAUACAUCUCAUAUCGACACAAAAUGAAUUGCAUUAACGGAUUCAAAAUGUCAGCUGGGCAGUUUAUCCUGAGCUCGUACAUUCAGAAACGAAGAAGCUGUUGAGGUCGAUGGCCAGAAGCCAAAGCCAAAUGCCAGGGAGAGCAGGGGGUGGGUAAAACCAAGCCAACCUUAUUCAGCCGCUCGGCAUUGUUAGACUCAAGCUAACAUUUAAUAUUAACUGAAUUUAAAGCUGUGACUAAUGAUCAUCCUGUGGACAUGAGUUUUUUUAUGUAUGGCCUUUUUUUUUUUUCCAUUGUGUUUUUUUGCCAAUUUUAAAAUGUUGCACAAUUAAUUUAAAAAAAUUGGGGAUGUUUCUCACAUUGCAUACGUAGCAAUAUUGGGAAAACUAGAAAGACAAACAAGAAGGCAAAGGCAGAUAUGCCUUAGUUCUACUUAAGGAAUGUGACAUAGGCUAAACCAUUGUAUAGCAUGUUUUAUUGGAAUUUUUCACUUACCGGUCUGUGCAGUUUCACCAAGAUUCCCUGUCAAAUUCUCUUUAAGAGGCUUAAGUUAUUGUGGGAUAGGAAGGGAAGGCUCUCUCAUAGAUUAAUAACUGCUCAAAAACUGUGUGUGGGGGGAAAAAAAGCACAGAAAUAAAGAGUUUCAUGUCCAUUCCCA